ACUGUGACCUCCAUCAUCAUCCGUCUCCUCGUCAGCUGGUUGAAGAUGCAGGGAGCUGGAAUUACUGUGGCCAUAUAAGGCCAAGCCUCCAAAGGAAGACCUCAGGACCGAGGCCGAGGUGGGCGAUGAAGCAACGGGGCCGUCGGCACGCCGCUGCUCAACGCUUCUCUUCCGCUCGUACUUCCUGUCGUGUUCACACAGAGGAUGACAAAGGGACCUACUGGCACAAUGUGAGUCGAAAUGUCAUGUGUCUGAGCAAGCGUUGAGAGAGGCUGCGAUGUAUUGUAUAUGCUGGGAGCUAUGGCAUGCACCCAUAGACGAUGUAAACAAUCGCAUUGUAAUGGUUGUGUUGGGUUUCGUGUCUACUGUUGGUGUUAACGGAACUGUCCGGAGUGGAUCUACAGACUUGCCAAAACAAAUUAAGUCACAUCAGACAAUAUUAGAGUUUUUUUUUCCCGGUUGCGUUGGUAAUACGAAAUGUAUUAGGAUGAAUCUCUGCUGAAUUUUCUUGGCAUGAGUUCAAGUUUUGACAUGUAAAACGGUUGAACAGGUGGUCAUAAUAUGUCAAGCAUAUUUCUCCGCAUUCGCUUCAAACUUUUUUUUUUUCCUGAGGCAAAGUUUGACUUUCUAACCGAGGGAAAUGUGUGAAGCAUUUGAUCAGCAAGCAAUGAGCCGGUUUUCUAAGAUAGCCAGUGAAGAUAAUUGUUGUGAUGUGGAUGAGAAUCAGUGGCCCAAAAGAAGCAGGAACACUGCAGUGUAAUUUCGACAGUGUUGCACAUACAGUUUUUUUUCCCAAAGGGCAUAGUCCCAUGUCCACGUCAACUUUUUUUUUUUUUAGUUUUAAUUUCUUUCUGUGUGCUUGGCAGUGCUCUUUUUCUUUCUGUAUCUCAACGAAAUGGUUGUCAACAAAUUACCACGCAAACAGUAAAAAAUGAAAUGAA